rnacentral:lncRNA from 1 species
UCAUUUCUCUUCAGCAACCACCUCUGAAACCCUUUCCCCCUCUCAAACUCUCUCGAAGGGUCUCGAAACCCUAGCCCUUUUCACCCUUCUCCGACCUCAAUCUCACCUGAAUCCAUGGCUUCCCAAGCCAUGGACGGCCUGUACUUACCUUCCUUCACCCCUAAGCCAUAGGUGUUCGAGAUUUCAAAGUCGGACUUCGAUGGAGUCCAUUUAGAUCCUCUAUAGACCCGUGGUUCUAUGGCCUCUCUGGCGUAUUCGAGCUUUAGGAGCCUAGCUAUGGCCAUCUUCGACUCGAGACCUGACUUUCUUCCAAGCCUUCUCAUUUCUAGGGUUUCAGAGAAACUCUAAAGCUAUUUGAGGUUCCUUCUUCUUUUAUUUGCCUAGACCUGUGGUGAAUCUGUGCUAUCUUCAAUCUUUUAAGCUUUUCCCCCAAUUUUUAUUUCAAUAUUAGUUUGUUUUUGAUUUAAGGUUUUCUGAAAAGUCUCAAUAUGUCUCUUCAUCUUCUUUUCUAUAUGUGAAUCUAUCUAUGUCAUAUUCUUAUGGGUUUUCUCUUGUGUCCUUAUGUUUGUCGUGUUAUGAAUGUACUUCUAUUUUUUGUUCUCUGUUCUUUCUUCUACUGGUCUCUAUAAGCAUGCUUUUACAUGUCUAUAUCGUAUGUUCCUUUAUUGUAGUUUUACUGAGUUUUUAAUCGUUGUUUGCCUUUACGGGACUUUCAUUUUAAACUCUAAGCAUGCUUCAUCUACUGUUUUCCAAAGCUUAUGCCGCCUAUUCUCUUCUGAACUUAUUUGAGUGACAAGUUGUGCUUAAAUGUGUUCCCUAUGUUUCAUAUUAGUUUCCACACUCUAUUUGCCUUGAACCUAUUGUUCUAUUUGUUUGUUUUCUCAUAAGUCUCUGAAAGAGACUACUAAGCCUGCUCUAGUUGUUUUCUUCUCGUCUAUGCAUCUGAUUUGAGUCAGAAACCCUAAAUUUGGGGGGGGGNNNNNNNNNNNNNNNNNNNNNNNNNNNNNNNNNNNNNNNNNNNNNNNNNNNNNNNNNNNNNNNNNNNNNNNNNNNNNNNNNNNNNNNNNNNNNNNNNNNNNNNNNNNNNNNNNNNNNNNNNNNNNNNNNNNNNNNNNNNNNNNNNNNNNNNNNNNNNNNNNNNNNNNNNNNNNNNNNNNNNNNNNNNNNNNNNNNNNNNNNNNNNNNNNNNNNNNNNNNNNNNNNNNNNNNNNNNNNNNNNNNNNNNNNNNNNNNNNNNNNNNGGGGGGGGGGGGGGGGGUUCUGGCAGGCUUGAUCUUAUGUUUUGAUUAGGGUUCUAUUCAAAAUCCUUGAGUCUUUCCGACUCAUUCUAAGUCUAUGAACUGAACCUUCUUUGUUAUGACUUUGGAUUUUCUAUACGAUUCUCUCUUGCUUGUGUUAAUUGUGUGCUUCAUAUAUGAACCUUUCUUUCAAAAGGCUUUUUGCCAACUUGUGAUUGAUUCCGAACUCCUUUUUCUAAGGUUUGAUUGAGUGCUACUGAUUUUCUUUAAAUUAAACCUCUUUUCACCUUUUUCUGGUUGGAUUCAUUCGUGCCAAGACUCAAAUCCUGAUUUUUUAGUGCCUACUGAUUGAUUGCCUUUCCUUAUUUGUCCAUACCGUGUACUACUAGACUCCUGGCUUAUAUAAAUUUUUGUGUAUCUACCCUUAUUGUACUGCUUUGGAAAGGGUUUUUGAACCAAAACCUUUUCUUAUUUAUCCUGCCCAUUUGAAUCAAAUCCCUUGACUGAAGGGAAAUCAUUGAAACUGAUUUUCGAAGUUAUUUUCUUACCUAUUUCUACUCGUUUUAUGCACUAUAAACGGGGGCUACCCUUUUGCACUUGACAACAAGAUUGACGCGCUUUAACACUGAAGUUUUCACAAUAAAAUUGCAUUCUCACUCAUAGUAUUAAUCACUCUGCUUUCUACUCUCUUCUUCUCUAUAUUUCUACUCCUUGCUUUCUGAAACAACUUUGAGUUCUCUUCGAGGUUUCAAGUGUUCUGCUGAAAUUUGAGUUUGUUCCUGCUGUUUUACUUACUGUGAUUGCUCUAUUAUUCUGCUUAUUCUUACUUUGCAACUGGUAUGUUCUUCCUAGUUGAAUAAUGCUCCUUCACUAUAUGUUUACAUCCUAGUCUGUUAUGCUUUCUUUCACUAUGUUUCUACCAUUACUGUACUUAUGUGAAUCCCUUACCCCUUACCCGUUUCCCCUUUGUGUGUGAUUUGUGGUUCCAACCAUAGCAACACUUUAAUAUUGUUGUCUAUGACUCUGAACUGGGUUCUUUGAACUCCCUUCUUAAUCAAUUCCCACUUCCCUUUUCCCCUUUAUGUGUUUGAGACUUGACUUGGAUCUGGUGGUGCCCUAAUCACUAUCCAAACUUAGGUUUGACCUUCAAAGGUCUGCUCCUAACUUGCUUAACCCAAACAAGUGGUCAGGGGUGUGCCAGUCUGCAUUUGUGGAUGGGUAUGACCACCAUUUGUUAAGGUUCCCCAUUUCCUUUUGCACUUUGCACUUACUCCUAGCUUUAAGUUCUUCCCCUCUCUUGCAAGCCAUGCUUUGGGACCCUUGAGCUUCCUCUGAACUUGGAUGCCUGAGAGCUGGUUAUUUCACACUGCACUACUCUAAUUCUAAAUGGCAUCCUGAGUGUGACAAAUGUCGGGAAUCCUUGAGACUCCCUGGAACUUUGAAACACUUUGGAUAAAGAAUAGGCUUUGAAAAUCUGGAUUCUGGAAUUGGUUAAUCACAUGUUGUUAGACAUUAAGAUUGAAUUAGGCAGUUUGGAUCUAGCUGUUGGUGUUUGAUGUAUUUUAUAUCUUUUUCUGGUUUGUAAUAACGUAUAUAAAACUAGGGGAGUAUAGUAAAAAGGUGUGGAGGGGUUUUACUUUCUUGCAUCAGUAAGGGUAGGUAUCAUGCUCUAAGACUUUAAUUUUCUGACUAGGAAUCCUGCCUACAAGUCUGUCCAAUAUUUCUAAUUCAAUCACCUAGAAAUCAUGCCUAUAGGGUUUAACGUUCAUAUUCUAUAAUUAAAGCAUAUAGAGAUCAUGCCAAUAGGAUAUGCAUAUUCAUUAGGCAAAACUUUAGGAUUAAUUAUAUAAGCAUCCUUUUCAUAAGUUCAUUAACAAGUUCUGAAAAUCAGUAACGUAGUAUCAUGCAUAUAGGAUUUGUAUCAAACUCGUUUUGCCCGUUUUAAACAGUAACAAUUGGCUAAUUAGUUCUUAACACCUUAACUCAGUCACGUUUUUUGAAACUUUAUCUUUUCGAUAAAAACGUGUCUCAAAUCAGUGCACACUUUCUUUGAAACCUACUUCUUUUCUUAAAUGGUUUAUUUUCUAAUAUUCUGCCUAAAUAUUUUCCAACUAAAUUCCAGUUUUCCUGAACUUGUUUAAAUCAAUUCUGCAGUUUACUCUUUCCUUGAGAAAAGUUCUAAUUUCUGAAUACACUUUUACAAUCAUUUAUGUAUUUCAUACUUGAGCAGUCUACUGACUUUCUUUGAAACUUAUUUCUAAAACUAAGUCUGAAAGUCUUUUUUGCUUCCAUUAAAAACUUUUCUUCGUCAGUCAUCUUCUGUAAUUAGUGCCUUCUAAAUAACUCGCAUAAAAUACCUUAAUUUCUGACAAUUGUAUCCAAAUUGCCUAAUGCAGACUUUCUAUCUAAAUAUAUGUGUUAAACCAGUCCGUUCGGCGCUUAAUUUUAAUUUAAGACCAAAUCAGUAAGUGCACGGCAUACUAAACUAUAUGUGUUAUCUAUUUUAAGGGGUUUCUUUGAGCCUUGUUUAUUUUCUUGUUCUUUCCCCUACUUGGUGUUUGUUUUCAUUGACGAGUUAGACUUUUAUCCUUUGAAAUUCCAUAAAAGCCCCAUCCCUUUCUUCCUCUUUUAGGAUUAGAAGUCCUAAUACCCCAGGACUGAUAGUUUGAGACAGGUACUAGCAUACAAUAAGUAAUCGAGACUAAACGCAUUUUAAUACCUUAACGGGGUGGGAAGGGUAGAAUAUGGAUAUGACUGCUAAUAUCACGUGUGAUCCCUCUUCUGAGGAGUGAUUGCUAGAUAUUGCAUUGAUGUGAUCCAUAUUAUGUUUAAACCUAGGACCCCCUUUUUUCCCUUUAUUUGUUAUGUUUCAUUCAAGUUUUCUCUCUUUUAAAGUAAUGUUCUCAAAUCUCUCGUUUUAUUCUUCUCUUUUAACCUUUUUUUUUUAUAUAUUCACAAUAUUUUCUUUAAAUCCUGUUUCCUUUCAAUUAACACCUUUUCUAAAAAAACUGUCUAUUCCUUCUCUCUUUUAAAAGCUUUAUACUUAUUUGUGAUGACUAUGUGCAAACCUUAUUUGUUUCUUUGAUCUUCUUAAAGUUAUAAUUAUAGCAUGUCUAGGAACCACACUAGUGGAUCUUGAGGGGGGCCUAACACAUUCCCCUAGGGAUAAUCUCUAAGCCCUUACCCGAACUCUGGUUUCCUUCUUCUCAAAUUCUUCAUCUCUUUAAAGUGUCAUACUGCACUAUAAUCAUUAGGUGGAGGCUAUCCAAAAUCCAAAACCCAAUUCUCGCAAGGGAAUAAAGAAUUGUCCUCCCAUAAUGUCGUUUACCCGAUUUACGAACUAUGGAAAGAGGGGACGUCGACAGCAUGGCGACACUGCUGGGGAUUUCUUUAGGCUUUCUACCAUUACAUGUUAUUUGUGACUUCAUUAUUUAUUUAAUUGCCUUUACUUCUUGCCUUUUAAUUAUUUCAUCCCGAAACUAACUUGGCUCUUUAUGUCUUUUCUUUCCUUUAACUGCUUUCCUUUACUGCUUUAUUAUUUCAAUACCGUUGUAAUUUCGAGCAUUUAUUGUAAUCAUUUAUCUUAUGUACCUGAAAAUACAUGUAAAUUUGCUUCAUUCUUAUAACUGCAUCUGCAACAUCAUACUCCACUCAUACCAAAACAAAUCCUAUAGCGCUUAUAAUGAGUGAUUGCGGUCUUCCGAUAUUAUCACCCCUAAAUUUGGUAAUGGCAUAUUUGCGGUAAAACCAGUCGAUCAACGGUGUAGUCGAUGGUUCUGCGCCUUUCCCUUUUGAGUUGUCCACUCAAGGGUACCAGUCUAGCACUUCAAAAGUAGAAACCUUACUCCGUUAAACUAUCCAUGCAUCAUGGUCAAACCUAGUCGGGUUAGUUAUGCUGUCCGCAUAAUGACUCAUUAAGAUAGCCUAGUCCAAAGUCCAUCGGGUUUUCCUGAAACCCAAAAGGACACCUCCAUAUUUGGUGCAUUUAUACAGAGAACGAAAAUGCCUAUUAUGUUAAUUAUUGAUCUAAAUAGUCAAGUCUGGGUCUAACUCUUUGUUUUUCAGAAAAUGAGGCACGAAGUCCCCAGAUUCGGUAUGGUAACCAACAUUCACC